CAACAGCCGAUUAUUUUGCUGUCGUUGUGGUUUUUGGCGACAUUUUGUUUUAAUGUGUUUUAAAGACUUCAGAAAACGAUUUAACGUGAUUUUUUGGAUGUUUUUGUGAUCAAACAUCUCUACUUUUAUAUGGAUCUUUUAUUUGAAUCUAGUGUAUAGUGUGAAUGACAGUGUUUUAAUGAAGGAUGAAUCAACUUAAGGCAAAUUAAGAUAUUAAUAUAAUCAUAUUACACCAAGAAGGAUCACACAAACUUAGGAGAUGAAGACCGUCCUUGGAGAUGAUAACGGUUCUUGGGAUGUAAUUGAAAAUCCCAUGAAGACGAGUUAAAUAUAAUGUGCAGUAAUUAAUAGGUAUAUCAUAAUAAUAAAUAAAUUUAUUGUAGUUGCGAAGCUAGUAUUUUGUGAAAGCAGGGAGUUUAGGACUUGCUAUGGUUCAAGGUUUUCAAAUUCGCCAUGUCCCUCUAUGUCUUAAUCUUUUAUGUUGUUUUACACCAUGUUAUAACGCCUAUGCCUGUUAAAAAAACAAGGUUUGUCCUUUUUGUGAUUGCUUAAUUUAGAAACUAAGCGAAAAAACGUAUUCUACAAGUACCAUACAAGUUAAUCAAUAUUAAAGCCUACUAUUAUUAUAAAUUUAAAUGAUUACAUGGUAGUUUUAAUCAGUUAACUUCCAGUGAUAGUUAUGUAUAUCAGAUAUGUGGGUUUUUAUUUAAAAUAAUUUUAGCACACUUGUAAUUCUCUUGUGUUUGAGUAAUUUACUAAUAACUAUGAUGCAAUCGAGAUUACUUUUAAAAAAUUUCAAAACUUAUCAAGAACUUUGACAUCAAACUGUUAAAGUACGUGUUAGGGCCGCUUUUACAAACGUCCGUAAACCUUAUAACCGCGAAUAAAUUUCGAAAAAUAGUUGUUUAAAUUUAGCCUUAAGGGACUUAAAAAUUGGACUAUUGUCAAAGGUUACAAGCAAAAUUUUGAUAUUUUUUUGCUUUUCUGAACAGUCUGUAGACAAGUAAUCAAACCAACAAAACUGAUGUAUUUAUACAGACUGAUCCCGAAAUACUGUGUCUGUUAGCAAUCUGAAUUUAAAUUUUAAAGGAUACCAAUAGUGUACACUUUCAGGUAGCAAUUCAAUAAUUUAAUCUGAUGCCAACAUACUCAGUUUCUCUGGAUCAUUGUGUAUAUUUAGACAAUGUAUUUACAUAUAUUAUUACAUCUGAGUAUGUUUAUGAACAACAAUUCGAGUUAAAUUAAUUUUGCCUAUACAUUCCAGCACGUUAUUAUUUUUUUAAUAAAUUUUUAUUGGAAAGACUUUGUUUCAUUUUAUUAAGCGAUGUUAAAUGUUUUUGUGCUAUUGCAACUGUUACAGAUGCUUUUUUAUUAAAAUGUCUCGUAACAGUGCAUGAGUACAGAAACAUUUAACAUUUAUAAUUCUUUAAAUUUGGAAAAUAAAUAAAAUGUCCUGUUUGAAUUUCCCGCUAUUAUCGAAUUAGUUUGUUCUCCCCAGGUUAGGUGGCGCUUUCGCGAAAAAACGAGGGGUAGACAGAGAGAUUCGCUUCUUCCUCUCUUUUAUUCUAUGGUUAUAAGUAUAGUUGAAUGUGGGAAGCGAGUGACGUGAGCUGUUGUUGUGUGCUACCAAAAAUAUUUCGUAUCAACGGAUCAGGUAGGAUCUUUUUGUUAUUCUUGUUUGAUGGCGUGUUUUUAACUUUCAUGUGGAAUUGGUUUUAAGACUACAUAUUCUUCUAAGGUGAAGAUUUUAUUUUGCUGAACACUACGUUUUUAUGGAACUCUUAUCUGCAUGUUGUGUUACGAUCUUCUCUACCAACUUGCAAAUUCAAUGACACAGCCGAAUUCGUGGUCAAGAUAUAUACCUUUCCUUUGAGGUAUUACAAAGGAGGUGAUACCAUUUACAUUUUUUCAGGGGGUUGGUGCUGCUGUUGAGAAAGUUUGAUCUUGUAAGCUCUUAAAUUAAUUGAGUUAAUUAAAGACAACGGAUAUUACAAUGAAGUUUUUCGUAGUUAUGCAAAAAAUGGUUAAAUAAACUCUGAAAAAGAACUUACAAAAGUUUUAGAGAAAUUGAGAAAAAACGCACAAACACUCAAAGUAACACAGUCAUCAACACUACUCCUUGAAAAGAAAAAAAUAUAUCAUCAAUUGUAUCAUCUACUAAUCGUCACUUUUAUCAUAUUUUGUGAAGUUUUCUUAUGGGGUAGUCGCUAGAUUAUGAAACCUUUACCGCUGUGGUCUUAUUUUGUAUAAACCUUCUAAUUUUUCCAUUUAUUCCUUAUUAGGUGAAUCAAAUUUCUGUGUAUCCCUUUUUAUUUUGAAUGUUUACGGACGCUUUUAAGAGUCGGGGGUCACCCUAGGGGUUAAUUAGAAGCCCUGUAUUUUGUCUGUAUCUUAAUUAAUUUUUAGUUUAUUUUAAUAAACUAUUUUAUAAACUAAAUCCGAUGAGACUUAGCAGUGGGAAGGGGUGCCCAUUUAAGAAGUAAUUACAUAACACACACAUCUACACCACAGAAUAACAGGUUUUACAGAAACGCAUCUAUCCUUGUCCCGAUAGAGCGAAAAUGUCACUAGCACAUCUAUUGUGGCCAGCGCGUACUAAGUGUUAUCGCGGGCGAUUUGAAUUGCCCGUAGUUACUUUUCUUUUAAAGUGAUUGCAUUUUUCGUAUUGUUUGUAAAUAUUCACAACAAUAGUUGCUAAUAACACUUUCUGAUGUUAGACAACUAUUGUUGCUGAAUAUUUACAAAGAAUACGAAAAAUAAAAUAUGAGAACAAAUAAAGACAAUAAACUUGUAACAAAAAUUUAUUAUCACUAGUCCAAUAUACACGAUACGAUAACUAUAAA